rnacentral:ncRNA from 1 species
GUAAACACGUCUGAAGCGCCUAAUGGAUGUUUUAGAGAGUUAGCGGGUGGUGCAAGCUGACAUAUCAUCCUCAUUCCAGCGCCUUAGUGGGCAGUGAUGAACUGCACGGUGACAACCGUUAUCAGCCUCAAGAGGGUGGCGUUAUGCGCCAAACUUGGGUGGUACCGCGGAAAAAGCCUUUCGUCCCAUUA